GAUAAACGCUGGCGGCGCACAUAAGACAUGCAAGUCGAACGAACUUAACUCAUUCUUUUAGUUUGAGAGCGGUUAGUGGCGGACUGGUGAGUAACACGUAAGCAACCUGCCUAUUAGAGGGGAAUAACAGUGAGAAAUCAUUGCUAAUACCGCAUAUGCUAACAGUAUCGCAUGAUACAGUUAGGAAAGGAGCAAUCCGCUAAUAGAUGGGCUUGCGUCUGAUUAGAUAGUUGGUGGGGUAACGGCCUACCAAGUCGACGAUCAGUAGCCGGACUGAGAGGUUGAACGGCCACAUUGGGACUGAGAUACGGCCCAGACUCCUACGGGAGGCAGCAGUCGGGAAUAUUGCGCAAUGGAGGAAACUCUGACGCAGUGACGCCGCGUAUAGGAAGAAGGUUUUCGGAUUGUAAACUAUUGUCGUUAGGGAAGAUACAAGACAGUACCUAAGGAGGAAGCCCCGGCUAACUAUGUG
rnacentral:rRNA from 1 species